rnacentral:tRNA from 1 species
AAAGGGAGACCUAAUUCAGGUAGGAGACGAAAAAAAAGUAGUCCCUACCAGGAAUCAAUCCCAAAAGGUCGGAGCGAGGCAAAAUUGGCUUUCAAACUAGGUUCUGGGUUCACAUAAGACCUGAAUCAGGAACAAGGGCUAUUAGCUCAGGUGGUUAGAGCGCACCCCUGAUAAGGGUGAGGUCCCUGGUUCGAGUCCAGGAUGGCCCACCUGCACAGGUGGCAAAAACAAGAGAAGCGAGGAAUCAGCACCUUAUCUUACUGACAUAGUAAGAGAGAAUGCUGGCUCUGAGUAAAGAGUCCAGAGGAACCUUGAAAACUGCAUAGAGCUAGGUGAAAAAGCCAAAAAAGAAGACCGCCAG